ACGGAAGGCAGCAGUGGGGAAUAUUGCACAAUGGGCGAAAGCCUGAUGCAGCGACGCCGCGUGAGUGAAGAAGUAUCUCGGUAUGUAAAGCUCUAUCAGCAGGGAAGAAAAUGACGGUACCUGACUAAGAAGCCCCGGCUAACUACGUGCCAGCAGCCGCGGUAAUACGUAGGGGGCAAGCGUUAUCCGGAUUUACUGGGUGUAAAGGGAGCGUAGAUGGUUUGGCAAGUCUGAAGUGAAAUGCGGGGGCUCAACUCCUGAACUGCUUUGGAAACUGUCGAACUAGAGUGCAGGAGAGGUAAGUGGAAUUCCUAGUGUAGCGGUGAAAUGCGUAGAUAUUAGGAGGAACACCAGUGGCGAAGGCGGCUUACUGGACUGUAACUGACGUUGAGGCUCGAAAGCGUGGGGAGCAAACAGGAUUAGAUACCCUGGUA
rnacentral:rRNA from 1 species